UAGGGAAUCUUCGGCAAUGGACGAAAGUCUGACCGAGCAACGCCGCGUGGGUGAAGAAGGUUUUCGGAUCGUAAAACUCUGUUGUUAGAGAAGAACAAGGACGUUAGUAACUGAACGUCCCCUGACGGUAUCUAACCAGAAAGCCACGGCUAACUACGUGCCAGCAGCCGCGGUAAUACGUAGGUGGCAAGCGUUGUCCGGAUUUAUUGGGCGUAAAGCGAGCGCAGGCGGUUUCUUAAGUCUGAUGUGAAAGCCCCCGGCUCAACCGGGGAGGGUCAUUGGAAACUGGGAGACUUGAGUGCAGAAGAGGAGAGUGGAAUUCCAUGUGUAGCGGUGAAAUGCGUAGAUAUAUGGAGGAACACCAGUGGCGAAGGCGGCUCUCUGGUCUGUAACUGACGCUGAGGCUCGAAAGCGUGGGGAGCAAACAGG
rnacentral:rRNA from 1 species